rnacentral:lncRNA from 1 species
GACGAAAACAUCAAGACUUAAAAAGCGGAGCAAUAUGACACCUUAUGAAAAGAUAUCGUAAUUGGUAUCAGAGUCAAUCAUAAGUUAGAAGUGUAAGAUGAGUUUUGGCUGAGCGAGAGACAUACAGCGGGCAGAAUUCGGCUCUUCAACUGACGACCGAUCUAAGUGGAGCAAAUCUCCCCAUAAAAUCAGUUAAGACUAGUGAGACGAGUUUUAUAUUGUCUGAUACUUGUGAGUUUCUUAAUCUGAUUAUAUUAUUUUUGACGGUGACUAGACCCAAAAAGUUAGAAGAGUUAAAUGUACUAGAACUGUAGUAGUUUUUAGGAUGGGU